rnacentral:rRNA from 1 species
AUAACCGUGGUAAUUCUAGAGCUAAUACAUGCGCCCAUACCCGACUCUGUGGAAGGGUUGUGUUUAUUAGUUACAGAACCAACCCAGGCUCUGCCUGGUCUUGUGGUGAUUCAUAAUAACCGAACGAAUCGCAUGGCAUCUGCUGGCGAUGAAUCAUUCAAGUUUCUGACCUAUCAGCUUCCGACGGUAGGGUAUUGGCCUACCGUGGCAAUGACGGGUAACGGAGAAUUAGGGUUCGAUUCCGG